rnacentral:rRNA from 1 species
GAUGAACGCUGGCGGCGUGCCUAAUACAUGCAAGUCGAGCGAACAGACGAGGAGCUUGCUCCUCUGACGUUAGCGGCGGACGGGUGAGUAACACGUGGAUCACCUACCUAUAAGACUGGGAUAACUUCGGGAAACCGGAGCUAAUACCGGAUAAUAUAUUGAACCGCAUGGUUCAAUAGUGAAAGACGGUUUUGCUGUCACUUAUAGAUGGAUCCGCGCCGCAUUAGCUAGUUGGUAAGGUAACGGCUUACCAAGGCGACGAUGCGUAGCCGACCUGAGAGGGUGAUCGGCCACACUGGAACUGAGACACGGUCCAGACUCCUACGGGAGGCAGCAGUAGGGAAUCUUCCGCAAUGGGCGAAAGCCUGACGGAGCAACGCCGCGUGAGUGAUGAAGGUCUUCGGAUCGUAAAACUCUGUUAUUAGGGAAGAACAAAUGUGUAAGUAACUAUGCACGUCUUGACGGUACCUAAUCAGAAAGCCACGGCUAACUACGUG